UGUGUUCUGUCCUUCAUUCCACCGGAGUCUGUCUGUUUCACACCAGAUUUCAGUGGUGUGAAGUGUAAGAGACAUGG
ensembl:miRNA